UACGUAGGCAGCAAGCGUUGUUCGGAAUUACUGGGCGUAAAGGGCGCGUAGGCGGCCUGCUAAGUCGAACGUGAAAUCCCCGGGCUCAACCCGGGAACUGCGUCCGAUACUGGCAGGCUUGAAUCCGGGAGAGGGAUGUGGAAUUCCAGGUGUAGCGGUGAAAUGCGUAGAUAUCUGGAGGAACACCGGUGGCGAAGGCGGCAUCCUGGACCGGUAUUGACGCUGAUGCGCGAAAGCCAGGGGAGCAAACGGG
rnacentral:rRNA from 1 species